CUUUAAUCCUCAUCACACAGCUGUUAGAAAUACUAGAAUUAGAUGAUUCAAAGUCAAUGCAAACUGUCUUGAAUCAAACAAGAUUCAUAAUUUCAGAUGAAUCCAGCCUCCCGUAUUCUGUGGUUGAGCUCAAACACCUUAAAAAGAAGGAGAAGCACGAUGAACCAGACGAGAGCCCCGUUUACUCGGAUGUGAGGAUCCCAUCAGCUGCAGGAAAAUCCAGAUGUGCAGCAGAAGAGGAAACUCUUUAUUCUGAAGUCAAACCCAG